AAUCUGCAGUUUCCACUGAACAUCUGAGCCAAAGUUAUUAGGGAGUUAAUAAAAAAGAAAUAAUAGCAUGUUGAAUAUAAAUGAAUCUUAUACAUGGAGUAAUUUUUUUAUGAUGUUUCUCACAUUCUACACCAUUCCAACAUUUUAAUAGCAUCCUUUCAGUUGAUAUAUCUAAGUUCUUUAAUAUACUUGAGAUAUUUGCUGCAAGUAUCUGCAGCAAAAAGCAAAAGGGAAAACACAUUUCCAGAUAUAUGUUUAGGCACUGUUCUUAAAUAAGCUGUCAUUACUGACCAUCUUGCCUUACUUAGUGUGUCAGAGUUGUGUGAGUUCUGUCUGGAUUAAAAUUACGGUCUUUUUGGACUAGACCUUUGAUUCUUAGCAUCAUGAACAAGUAUAGUGAUUUACUGCAUGAAGGUUUUUCCCAAAUGUAGGUAGACUACUGUGAAGAAGUGAAUUUGGUUACUUUCUGUAAGUUGUUCAAAAGUGAGCCUGUUUACUGAUACGGUGCAAGCUGUAUUUAAAUUACAGUUGUGGUUCUGCGAUUUUCUUUUUAUGGGGAUUGGAAAAGAGAGAGGACAAUAAUGAAAGCAAUGUGGGAGGAUGAAAGCGGGUCAGAAAAGGGAGAGGGAGUUUCUGAUUGAACCAGUGACUUCCAGUGAGAGGGCGUGACUAAAUGAAGCAGAGCUUUUUCUAUUGUAUUUAUGUCAGCAUUAUUUGAUAUAGUGCCAAAAGUGUAUAUAGGGCUGUACAGUAGAAGACUUGUUUGAAACACAUAACAUGUUCCUUGUGCUGGAGGACUUAAAUUCUUUAAGUGUAGGCCGGAGCAGUGCAGGAACAUGCAGUACAAAGAUGUGAUAGUGCAUGGUUGGUGGCAUUCACCCUGGAGCAGGUGGGUCUUUUUUUUUCCUUAUUAUUCUUCUUGAAGAGAGGGAAUGUUUUGUGUAGCGACGAAAAACUUUCUGGUUUUGUGAUUUCGGGGGCUGCUGUGCCCCCUACUUCCACAGAACCACAGUGCAGUUAGACCACCCAUCAUUUGCUCUUUACAGAGGAGAAAAGGACUUCAGGAGUAGGAGAAAUGCUAGCAUUGUUCAUGUCCCUUAGACAGUCUCAAUUGGUGAGGUUGUAAUUAACUUUACCUCAUUUUGUAGGAUGGAUAAGAAAGAAGGUACAUUGGGUCAGUAGUAUUUCAAAGCAGAUUGGCUGAGGUUGGCUCUUUGUACAUUAUGUGUGGAUAUGAAAACUGUAUUUAUUCAAAAAAAUGGGUUAGCUUUUAGUUCAAGUCCUUAUCUUCAGGGCAAAGUCUUCAUAGCAAUGGAUGUUACGGGUAGUACAACUGUCUUUGUUUCCCUUAACGAUCAGACCUAUGGAUAUUGAAACCAUUUUUGUUUUGGAGAAGACCUUCUGAAGGUCUUUGUUUUAGCCAUUUAUAUGGUUCAUUUAUUCAGUAUUCUUAUCCAUGGAAAAGAUAAACGUGAAAUGUUCUGUUUGAGCAUAAGUAAUAUUAAUUGCUUGUGUUUAGUUCCAUCCGAACUGAAUUCGUAGAUCCAAUUAUUUGUCUUUUGCAUUAAUCGCUGAGAAAUUGUGUCCUGUAGGUGUUUUGGGUUUUUUUAGUCAUGUGUUGAAUCUGUAAAACAUCACUUUUUUGACCUGUGCCUUUUUAUCAUUGGUAAAUCAUAGCAGUGCCCUGUUUUCAGCUUCAUUUAAAAAAUAAAGGAUAUCAGUGUAAAAUAAGGUGCACUUACAGAAAUUAAAUGCAUCUGGUAUGUCCAACAGCAAACAAAUACUAAAAGUGAUGUGAAUCAACAGCUAUAUUUAAUGUGGAUUUCACAGGCAAAUCAUAGCAGAAACCAAAUUUUAUGGUCUUUUUUAUAUGCCAGCUCAUGCUGAAUCAUAAAUGGCCAUUUUUUAAUACAUAGGAAUUCUCUUUGUGUCUGUAAAAUCAACAGAUGGGAUAAUGUUUCCUAGUGAUAGAUGAUCUUUUCCCUUUGGAGUUGUAUUCUAAAAAGUUUAUAGGAGAAUAUGGUUGUGUAGGUGAACGCACAGAAAUAUUUUCAGUAUUUGCAUGUUGUCUUCAGAGAAAUCUGCACACAGGAAAAUACACCUACAUUAAGAGCAAAUCCCUUUGUUUUAAAACGGACAUCUGCUGCUUUGCUUUUACUGUUGAUAUAUUGUGGUGUUCUAAAUGUUGAAAUAUGCAAAACCAAAGUCUGAUAUGGAGUGGCUGAGUCUUACCAUGUAGGUUGCUGUAUACUGCUUAACCUGUAUGAGACGUUUUUAACAAAUGGAAGAUUAAGGGAUAGUUCCUGAGGAGUGUUCAGUGUGUCCUGUACAUGGACACUGUUGUAUAUAUGUUGGCUUUGAUAAUUUUAAGCGUGUUUAAAGUCCGUGAGUGUGAACUUUCCUCAGUGCUUCUUCAGUUCCUCACUCAUCUGUCUGCAGUAAGCAAAUUAAAGCUGGAAAUGGGCAAAGGAUAGAGGAUUAAAAGAGAGAGGGAAAAUAGAGUCCCAGCAUGCUACUUGAAUCCAUCUCUUUCUGCUUUCUUAGGUGAUGUCUCUGCUAAUGGCUGCAAAAGAAUACUUUACAUUAAUCCUCAAACUUUAAAUGUAAACCUAGAAAACCUAGUAUUUCACUUUGCUAGGUCUUAGAUACAACCUCAGUAGACCAAGUAAACCUAGUGAGGUUGCAUACUGGUGAGCUUGUAGUACACCACACUUAAUGUGUUUGUAAUAACUGAUCACAUAGCAACUUGAAAUUAAUUAUUUUAAAAGUAUUUUUGUUUCUUAUAGUAGAAGCAGUAGAUCCUGUUAUGAUGAAGAUUGUCUUGUGUUAAAAGCUGAAUGUACAUUUGAAAGACUUUCUAGCUUUCCAGGUAUGUAGCAGUUGUUUUAAAGUUGAGGGAGAAUGAUAAAAAGUACCUGUAAAUUACUUGCCUUAUUUUAAUUUCGUUCUUUAAAAGGCUUUUGUCUCACUGUUCAACCGCAAACUCUUCACAUUCUUUCACAGAUUCCAAGCUGUGUAAGAGGUGUGGGAGAAGGUUGCAUCUGACAGUUGACUGUUUUUAGAACUGGGAUUAAGUGAAGCACAGAGGUUUCUUUUGCUACUCUCCUAACUAUGGUAUACCUAUAGUAGUUGAAGUGGCAGUAUUUCUUCCUCCCCAGUCCUGUCAUACUUAAUGGCUUUUGGGAUACCAGCUAUUUGGUAGAUAUUAGAAAUGUUGGAACUUAACUUCAGCCUCUCACCAAACUUCAUUGUCACUUCAUAUUGUUGGAGAGCAGAGGCUGGAAUUUCUUAAGUUCUUUCUUUCUGAAUCGCACAGUGUAUUCUGAAACUUCUCUGGAGAUUAUAUAAAAAUCUGAAAUUCUUUUCAUUAGACCCCUCCUGUUUCAAGCAUUGUUUCCCUCAGACCUCCUCUGAGGAACUAAAAACUUUCUUUAAUCACUCUAUUCUGUAUUUAAUUUAGUUUUCUUAAUCAUCUCUAUCCCCUAGUAAGCCUGUGUGAAGCACACUGUUCUCGUCUCAAAACCCAUUUAUUUGACAGCUUUGUUUAAGGCAAAUGGGACUUGCCACUUGAUCAGUCUCUGGGUCUUACACUGCCCUGGAAUAGUGAUGGCCAUAUCUUCUUUCUGACAAUGUUGAGAGGUUUGUGCUUUAGGAGAAGGAGCUGGAAGGAUUGCACUGAACAGUUACAGGGUAACUUCCUUCCAGGGACGUUUCCUUCGGAGCUCUUGUCUGGGGAUUGUUUCCAGAAUCCAUGCUGAGGUAUUACAGUCAUCCCGUGUAGCUUAUUAAAGAGUUCCUCUAACACAUUCUGCUGCAAAUGCUGUGAUAUGUGCCCUUGCUAAAUCAGUCAAAAGCACCAACAGGUGUCCAGUUGGAAAUGAUUUUGCAGUGGGAUGUUUGGGAGUUAAACUUUUCCAUUUAACAGGCACUCUGCCUUUUCAAAAUCUGGCACUUGCUUCCCAUGUAGAAAGCAUCAAUUUUUCUUCAGUUUUCUCAUUGUAUUGGAUCUGGCUGGGAUGGAGUUAAUUUUCUUCGUAGCAGCUGGUCUGAUGUUGUGUUCUUUGCGAUCAAAACAGUGUUGAUAACACACUAAUGUUUUAGCACUGGCUGAACAGUGUUUGCACAGCAUCAAGGUUUCUCACUAUGUCCCGUCUGCGUCCCCCCACAGUGAUUGGGGGUGCACAAGACUUUGAGAGGGGACACAACCGGGCAGAUGACCUGAACUAACCAAAGAGAUAUUCCAUGCCAUAUAAGUGUCAGUGAUAAAAUGGAGAGGAGGGAGGUUUAGCAAGGUUACCCAGCUUUUGCUACGGAACUGGCUGGGCAUCGGUCUACCCUUGGGAGGUGUUGAGCGAUUGGCUUGUUUUGUUUUGUUUCUCUCCCACUUCUCUUUUGUUGAACAAUUUUUAUCUCGACUUACAAGUAUGCUUGCUUUCCACUCAUGCUUUUCUCUUCACCUGUGUGAUGGCGGGACAGAGUAAGCGGCAGCGUGGCUCUUAGCUGCCUACCGAGCUUAGCCCCUAACACCCAUGAUGAUCUCGUCAUGCUUAUGUAAGGCAAAAAGAAAAUAAAGAGAUCUCAACACAUGGCUAUUUGCUAUGUUUCUGGAUUCUUCAGGUUAAGGCAAGUAUUUUGCUUUUAUUUUCAGUGUUGAAAUUUUUAAAACACCAUGAAAACUUCUGUCACA